AGGGCCGUGGAGACUCCAAGGAAAGAUACAGAUGCUGGUUAUGGUUAUGAUAACUACCGUUCUCACAUGCCUAUGUAUCUCAUCUUGCAGGAUAAAGGCCAGGUAUGUGCCUGGUGCUGUGUCUACACAAAGCAGAAGGGGCUGCCUCUCUCCCUCCCUCCCCACGUCUACCCUGCCUGAUGCAGCUCUGUGCCUUACAGUAUCUGGCACAGUGCUGGGUACAUAGCAGGCACUCCAUGAAGACCAGCUGAUUAUUGAGAGGUAUAUCCAUGAAAAUUCAUGAGUGGGAAUUCUUUUAUCAAGAGUAUCUAACAAGAUAAGGGAACAACUCACAUAUCAAAUAUUAACUCAGCCUGAACAUAUGAUACUAUACGUGGAUUUAGAGAAGCAGACAGCAGCUCUUUACCAAGCCCACACCAAACCACAUGCUCCUCCAACUGUAAUCAAGAAAGUAACUGAAAUUGUUUGGGCAAAUCAGGGCCUAAUUAAAAGAGAUAAACAGAUGAUAACCCCAUUAACUCCAUUAUACGAAUAUAUGUUUAUAAUGAACCAGUCACAGUUUUCAAGAAGAAGGCGGAUGUUCUCAAGGGGUAAAAAGUCUCAUAAAUGAGGUACUAACUUGUAAAUAAACUCAGGACAGCAAAUUCUAUAUGUUCUGUAAGCAGCUAAUGUGAUAUUUAUAUUAACUAUAAUAAAGAUACAUGCCAAGUAAAACAUGAGGUGCAGGUGAAUAAAUGAGACAUUCUUAAUCAGUAUAGAUUAAAGCCAUAGUAAAUA
rnacentral:lncRNA from 10 species